rnacentral:rRNA from 1 species
UAGUCCACACCGUAAACGAUGGACACUAGGUGUCGGGGGCUUUACCCCCUCGGUGCCGUAGUUAACGCAUUAAGUGUCCCGCCUGGGGAGUACGGUCGCAAGAUUAAAACUCAAAGAAAUUGACGGGGGCCCGCACAAGCGGUGGAGCAUGUGGUUUAAUUCGAUGAUACGCGAGGAACCUUACCAGGGCUUAAAUGUAGAGUGACAGAUCUAGAGAUAGAUUUUUCUUCGGGCACUUUACAAGGUGCUGCAUGGUUGUCGUCAGCUCGUGCCGUGAGGUGUCAGGUUAAGUCCUAUAACGAGCGCAACCCCUGUUGUUAGUUGCCAGCGAGUAAUGUCGGGAACUCUAACAAGACUGCCGGUGCAAACCGUGAGGAAGGUGGGGAUGACGUCAAAUCAUCACGGCCCUUACGUCCUGGGCUACACACGUGCUACAAUGGUAGGUACAGAGAGCAGCCACUACGCGAGUAGGAGCGAAUCUAUAAAACCUAUCACAGUUCGGAUCGGAGUCUGCAACUCGACUCCG